rnacentral:lncRNA from 1 species
CACACACUUAAAAAUACUUCUCUGAUGCACUUAAUAAGCUAAGAGUCACCUAAUCCAAAGGCUAAUGGGCCAGGGCUUAUCCAAAACCAUUGCCAUAGUGCUGGGUUUCCUUGUAACUUGAGCUAAAGGUCAUGACCCCAUUGACCCAGUUCUGUGUUAAUCAUGGGCUAGCAACCACUAGUCUGUGACAGCUUUGGAAUCAGACCCUCUCUAAAGAAAGAGAGAGACCCAACCAGGCAACCAAAUUUCAGCAUUAAACAUGGU